rnacentral:misc_RNA from 1 species
GAAAUGCGAUAAGUAGUGUGAAUUGCAGAAUUUAGCGAAUCAUCGAAUCUUUGAACGCACAUUGCGCCCCUUGGUAUUCCAUGGGGCAUGCCUGUUCGAGCGUCAUUUCAACCCUCAAGCACUGCUUGGUGUUGGGCGUUUGUCCCGCCUACGCGCGUGGACUCGCCUCAAAGUCAUUGGCGGCUGUUCCCCAUCGGCUCGUAAGCGCAGCACAGUCGGCGCCCGGAGCUCUGGUGGGAUGGCGUCCAGCAAGCUAUAUUUUCAGGCUUGACCUCGGAUCAGGUAGGGAUACCCGCUGAACUUAAGC